UGGGGAAUAUUGGACAAUGGGGGGAACCCUGAUCCAGCCAUGCCGCGUGUGUGAAGAAGGCCUUAUGGUUGUAAAGCACUUUAAGCGAGGAGGAGGGUACUGGUAUUAAUACUACCAGCUACUGGACGUUACUCGCAGAAUAAGCACCGGCUAACUCUGUGCCAGCAGCCGCGGUAAUACAGAGGGUGCGAGCGUUAAUCGGAUUUACUGGGCGUAAAGCGUGCGUAGGCGGCUAAUUGAGUCGGAUGUGAAAUCCCCGAGCUUAACUUGGGAAUUGCAUUCGAUACUGGUUAGCUAGGGUGUGGGAGAGGAUGGUAGAAUUCCAGGUGUAGCGGUGAAAUGCGUAGAGGUCUGGAGGAAUACCGAUGGCGAAGGCAGCCAUCUGGCCUAACACUGACGCUGAGGUACGAAAGCAUGGGGAGCAAACAGG
rnacentral:rRNA from 1 species